rnacentral:rRNA from 1 species
CUGUUCCUACGGGAGGCAGCAGUGGGGAAUAUUGGGCAAUGGGCGCAAGCCUGACCCAGCAACGCCGCGUGAAGGAAGAAGGCUUUCGGGUUGUAAACUUCUUUUCUCAGGGACGAAGAAAGUGACGGUACCUGAGGAAUAAGCCACGGCUAACUACGUGCCAGCAGCCGCGGUAAUACGUAGGUGGCAAGCGUUAUCCGGAUUUACUGGGUGUAAAGGGCGUGUAGGCGGGAAAGCAAGUCAGAUGUGAUAACCACGG